GGGAGACGGAGACACAGAAAAAGAGAGAGAGUGAGAGAGAGAGAGAGAGAGAGAGAGAGAGAGAGAGAGAGAGAGACGUGGCUCCUAAUCCUUCUUUAUUGAAAGCACACAAAGUCCAGGCUUGGCAUUUCUCAGCGAGAAUCACUCAGAGGAGGAUAAUGAAGACAAUGAUCAACGCAGCAGGGCGGCUUC
rnacentral:lncRNA from 1 species